UGCCUACGGGGGGCAGCAGUAGGGAAUCUUCCACAAUGGACGAAAGUCUGAUGGAGCAACGCCGCGUGAGUGAAGAAGGGUUUCGGCUCGUAAAGCUCUGUUGGUAGUGAAGAAAGAUAGAGGUAGGAACUGGCCUUUAUUUGACGGGAAUUACUUAGAAAGUCACGGCUAAAUACGUGCCAGCAGCCGCGGUAAUACGUAGGUGGCAAGCGGUGUCCGGGUUUAAUGGGCGUAAAGCGAGUGCAGGCGG
rnacentral:rRNA from 1 species